GACGUAGGGCGCGAGCGUUGUCCGGAUUUAUUGGGCGUAAAGAGCUCGUAGGCGGCUUGUCGCGUCGACCGUGAAAACUUGGGGCUCAACCCCAAGCCUGCGGUCGAUACGGGCAGGCUAGAGUUCGGUAGGGGAGACUGGAAUUCCUGGUGUAGCGGUGAAAUGCGCAGAUAUCAGGAGGAACACCGGUGGCGAAGGCGGAUCUCUGGGCCAUUACUGACGCUGAGGAGCGAAAGCGUGGGGAGCGAACAGG
rnacentral:rRNA from 1 species